AAUACAUGAUGAGAAAAUGUUUCGGUCCCAGUUGAUGUAUGCUGAUAAGGAAACAUUUUUCUGAUGUU
ensembl:snoRNA SNORD73 Small nucleolar RNA SNORD73